rnacentral:rRNA from 1 species
UACGUAGGGGGCAAGCGUUGUCCGGAAUCAUUGGGCGUAAAGCGCGCGUAGGCGGCCCGGUAAGUCCGUUGUAAAAGUCAAAGGCUCAACCUUUGAAAGCCGAUGGAUACUGCCGGGCUAGAAUCCGGAAGAGGCGAGUGGAAUUCCUGGCGUAGCGGUGAAAUGCGCAGAUAUCAGGAGGAACACCAAUGGCGAAGGCAGCUCGCUGGGACGUGACUGACGCUGAGACGCGAAAGCGUGGGGAGCAAACAGG